CUACAACCAAUUAAGCUGACCAGGUUCCUCCAGUCUUGGGGAUCUGGGGUAAGAGCUGUGCACAGCAGCCUCCUUGGGAGUAUAUGUAGCCUGCUGCCUUUGCAGGUUGCCCUAACAGACCUGGAGACAGUU